rnacentral:rRNA from 1 species
UACGAGGGGAGCAAGCGUUGUUCGGAUUUACUGGGCGUAAAGGGCGCGUAGGCGGUCGUGACAAGUCACUUGUGAAAUCUCCGGGCUUAACCCGGAGCGGCCAAGUGAUACUGUCGUGCUAGAGUGCGGAAGGGGCUACUGGAAUUCUCGGUGUAGCGGUGAAAUGCGUAGAUAUCGAGAGGAACACCUGCGGCGAAGGCGGGUAGCUGGGCCGACACUGACGCUGAGGCGCGAAAGCCAGGGGAGCGAACGGG